rnacentral:rRNA from 1 species
GACGAACGCUGGCGGCGUGCUUAACACAUGCAAGUCGAACGGAAAGGCCCUGCUUUUGUGGGGUGCUCGAGUGGCGAACGGGUGAGUAACAUGUGAGUAACCUGCCCUUGACUUUGGGAUAACUUCAGGAAACUGGGGCUAAUACCGGAUAGGAGCUCCUGCUGCAUGGUGGGGGUUGGAAAGUUUCGGCGGUUGGGGAUGGACUCGCGGCUUAUCAGCUUGUUGGUGGGGUAGUGGCUUACCAAGGCUUUGACGGGUAGCCGGCCUGAGAGGGUGACCGGCCACAUUGGGACUGAGAUACGGCCCAGACUCCUACGGGAGGCAGCAGUGGGGAAUAUUGCACAAUGGGCGGAAGCCUGAUGCAGCAACGCCGCGUGCGGGAUGACGGCCUUCGGGUUGUAAACCGCUUUCGCCUGUGACGAAGCGUGAGUGGCGGUAAUGGGUAAAGAAGCACCGGCUAACUACGCG